rnacentral:rRNA from 1 species
UACAGAGGGUGCAAGCGUUGUUCGGAAUUAUUGGGCGUAAAGCGCGUGUAGGCGGCUUUGCAAGUCGGGUGUGAAAGCCCUCGGCUCAACCGAGGAAGUGCGCCCGAAACUGCAGAGCUUGAGUACCGGAGAGGAUGGCGGAAUUCCCCAAGUAGAGGUGAAAUUCGUAGAUAUGGGGAGGAACACCGGUGGCGACGGCGGCCAUCUGGACGGAUACUGACGCUGAGACGCGAAAGCGUGGGGAGCAAACAGG